UCCGUUUUGAUUUCGGGUUAUCUUAUACCCGUUCAUUCGGAUCUAUAUAAAAGGCACUACCCUGUAAUUCAGACCACUUUCUUUCCUAUUCCCUCUAAACCCUAGUUGACAAGUUCAUCGUAUUCUUCGUUCUUCUUUGCCGAUCUAAAGAUGAAGAUGAGCAUCAGUCUUGAUGUAAACUCCAUGGCGUCCAGGCAUGUUUCCUUCCUGAAUCUUGAAUUUGAUGUUUUUAUUUUUUUGAAUCUAAUUUCGUUUUUCUUGAAUAAACACUAUGUUUCGAGCAAAAAAAAAAUACCUGUAAAAGAUGUAACCAUCAUGUAAAAGAUCGACCAUCAGCUAAUCUUGAUUUUGGUUAUUCAGUCAGAUCCCUUAUAACCUUUCAUCUCAAUAGUUCUCAUUCUCACUUUCCCCUUUUUAGCAAACCCUGACCGAAACCAUUGUUGUAUCCUCUUUUUGAGAGAAGUUAUUCCAAUUAAUCGAAGCAAUGGUAUGUUUCUUUGGAUUUGAUUUGUUUGUUUUAUAAUUCUAAUCACAUGAAUUGCUUUUUUGUUUCCUUCUCAGAUCCAAUAAUCACAUUCUACAGCAAACAAGAAAGAGAUAGAUCGCAUUCAGUUGCAAAUCCGUCUUCGAUGAUGGCGCUGAUGUGACAAAUGAUUUUGUCGUUGGAUAGCUCCAGUUUGUUUGUUUGCUGGAUAAUUGUUUAUGUGCAAGGUCACCAUUAGAGCCUGGACCUACAACAACCUUGCCAGAUAGAAAGUUGUUGGUGUUCAUUCUUGAUAGGCUUCAAAAGAAGGAUACUCAUGCUGUUUUAUCUGAACCUGUCAAUCUGACUGAGCCCAUGUACUAUGUGUUUUAGAAUCGCCACUCUUCUUUCGAUUCUUGAUUAUAAAUGUAGAAUUGACAUGAGAAAAGGAUUUGGACAACCCGACCCGGUUCGUUUCGAGCAAAAAAAUUACCUCUAAAAGAUGUAACCAUCAUGCAGUCAUCCCGCAGGCUCAAGAAAAAAAAGAUUUAUCAAGGAAUUCUGCGCGCGAAUAUAAAGCGUCAAUGAUGGUGUUUUGAAGACCAAGGCGCCGCCUCCGGCGAUGGCGUUAGAUUUACGGUGAUGCUCCGGCUGACUUUUGAGCCCUAAAAUGUGUCAAACAUGGAACAUGCCUACAUUGGGUUGAACAAAGCAGUGGCUAUAAAAGGAUUAGUUGUCACACCUUUUAUCAUCCUUGGAAAUACCUUCGUUGUUGCACUUAGCAAUCACCAGGUUAUGGUGAAGCUGUAAAUAAUUUGGGAAAGUGGAAACCAGCCAAGGCCCACACAAAUGACUUCUUUAACCAUUCUUCUUACAAUUAGGGAUUUCCCAGGGAUUGAAUAUGAAUCAAGGAGACAUUAUUACCGCCAGAUAGAUCUAAAGGUUAUUGGUGUGUAAGGUGUGGUUUUAGGUUAUUAGUGGUUGAAUAAUGGUUGUUAUUGAUGUGCUAAAGUUAUAUGAUGUGCUAUAAGGAUUGGAACUGAUGCAAGACACACGUGAAAGAUAAAUGAAAGUAAGACUGUUUCUUCUGAAACUUCAAUAUUUUUAGAAUUAUUUUAAUAAUGACAUGUUUGAAAUUCUUUUUUUUUUUUUUUUUUUUGAGAUUGAUUUUCAUGUUUUAAUGGGGAUACUGUUUAUUUAAGUUUGUUUGAUGAUAGGUAAUUAGUUUUAAAAUUAAAACCUAAGAAAAGGCCUAAGUUGUGUGAUAGAAACCUCACCACUUCAAAUCAUAAUGGGUUGAAUCUGUUUGGGCCGAAUUGGAGGAGCCCAGAACGUGGAUCUGAAAUUUUAAAGGAUUUGACAAAUAAUCCAACUAACCCAGUCAAUUAGAAGUUAGCAACAUGGGAAACCGUAUUAGUGGGGAGGGUUGUUAUAUGGGUAAUCAGUUAGACAUGGGUUUAUUUAAUAAACUUUGUUAGAUUAGGGUGGCGAUGUUUUAUUAUCAAAUUAGGGUUCUUUCCUAAACAUUGGAGAUCAAGCCUAUAUUGACGCUAAUUGUAAUCGUUCUUUCACAAUCAAAGAUUUCAAUUUCCGAUUUUUAUCACUGUGUUCUUUAAAAAUCAACUUUUAAUUUUAAUUGUAUAUGUGAUGGUUUAUUAAAUCUAUGGGUCGGCGGAUCGACAACCGCAAAGGCGGCGCUGUUACACUCAUGAAGAAGCUUCUCAAAGAACAUCUAUUCCCAAUCUGCCCUUUGACUAUUAAUUCUGAGUGUGUCUCGAAACUGAAGGAGGAGAUGCAAAGUAAUUCAUUUGAAAAAACGAUACGAGUCAGCUCUGAUAUUGUUUGGACCAUCUCAAAUAUUUUCAAGUUUUAUGUGAUCCAAUUAAUCAUUGGUAUAAAGGUCUUUUUAUUUUUUUCUUUAUAUUGUUAUCUUUUUAGUAAAUGAUGAAAUCAAGUAUAGGCUUUAAAUUUAUAAUAUGUUAUAGUUAAUUGGA